rnacentral:lncRNA from 1 species
CUGGAGCCCCAGCCGCGCCUCCCUGGCUGCAGCUGCUGUAUUCACAGCAGCCGCUUCAGGCGGGCCGCCACGGCGAUCAGUUUUUCAUGGCCUCCAGGUUCUGAUGAAGCGUGGGAUUUUCUGCCCUGUACCCCUCAGAACAAGAAACCACCUUACUGCAGUCUGUAAGUGGCUCCUCAGUAACAGGGCACCCACAACUUUCAUGGCAUCCGCCCGUUACUUUUGUGUCUUCCCUUCUGUGUGUGGGACCAGGAACCUGUGGAGCUGGCUCUCAGCUUACUGCUCUUUCUGCUAUGUAAGCGAUCAACUGUCUGACUCUAAAAGUGACUCGUAUUUUUCCUUUUGAAUCAGACAGACCCUGAUCUGGGUUUUGCUUUGUGUUUUAUGUGUGAGCUUUAUACUCUGAAGUCGCUUUAUAUUUUAUUUUUUCAUUUAUUAACAAAUAUUUCUAUCAUAUUUCCUAUGGACCAAGCACUUUACAAAGUAUUAAUACAUUUAAUACUUGGUAUAACCCUAUAAAGUCAGUGCUAUUAUCACCCUCACUUUAAAAAUGAGGAAGCAAAGCCCUAGAGUGGUUAAGAAACUUGUCCAAGAUUACACAGCCAGUGGCAGAGUCAGAUGGGCUGCUCUGGAGUCAAGGCUCUUAACCACUGUGUUUUGCUGCCUUAUGUUAACAGAGUUUACACUUAGGGCACUUUUUCUCAGACAACACACAUCAGAAGCACCUAGAUUACCCAGUUGAAAUGCAGUUUCCUGGGUUCCAUCCGGACCUAUCCUGUGAGAAUCCUUGGUAAUGGGUCCAGAAAUUUCCAGAUACCUAGAGAUAGAACGAACACUCUGCCGCAAUGAAGCAACUGGAGGAUGAACAGACAGGAGGAGACCGGGUCCCUGGAGACCCGAGGAGCCACCAUUUAUGCAAUUUGAAAACCCUGACUCUUGUCUUUGCAGAAAAAUUCAUUCCUAUUUGGUUAAGCCACUGCAGCUGGGUUUUUCUUACAUAAAGCUGACUGUAUUCCUAAAAGACACAGAGGAUCUCUUUAAAUAGGAGUAAUAUAUUUACUUAUAAUAAUUUGAUUUUCUGAAAUAGCACUGUAGAAAUAUAAUGUAGUCCACAUAUGUAACACUUUCUAAUAGCUACAUUUUAAAAUGGCAAAAAGAGGUAAAAUUAUUUUAAUAUGUUGUAUUUAACCCAAUAUAUUGAAAGCAUUAUUUCAACAUGAUGCUAAAAAUCAUCAGUGAUAUUUUUACAUUCUUUUUUUAAGAAAACUAGGUCUUCAUAGUUCAGUGUGCAUUGUACACCUUUUAUUUAUGGCACAUCUUAAUUCAGUCUGGCCACAUUUCAAGAGCUCCAUAGCCCCACGUGGCGGCUAGCAGCUGCUGUAUUGGACAGUACAGUCCUACAGCUCCUCAUCUGUGACCUGUUUUGUGCUCUGGUUCUCAAACUCGACUGCACUGGAAUCAUCAGAGGAGCUUAAAGGAAUGCUACCUUGGUGGUCCCACCUCAAAUACUGACACAUCGGAGGUCUGAGUGCUGCUGGGGAAUCAGGAGUUCUAAAGGCUCUCCAGGUGAUUCUAGUUUAGGAAUUACUGUUCUAGCGCCUUUUUUUCUUGAGCCUCAUUAUCAGUCUGGGAACAGUUGGAUGGUGUUUUUUUCAGGAGCUGCUUUCUCCAAAUCAGAACUGGCAGGCUUGCACUGGGUCUAAACUCUGUCUCCAACUCUGCCUCCACCUCCCUCUCUCACACACACAUGUGUAGACACACACACCCCACCAAGGCCCUAGAAGCUUAGUCCAUGCACUGUAUGUUACCAGGUCAAUGCAGCUGUGGUCUCAGGGCAACCAGAUCAUACCAAAACAUCCCAAAGAUGAGCUCUCUUCAUUCUCAAAGACUUAAGUUACGACAAAAUCCUGGGACCAUGAAUAAGCCUGUGAAGAUAGAUGUAACACUCUGAUCAUGGGCUGGAAAGACUAAAGCCCCGGUGGAGGUCAGAAAAGCCCAGAUCCAUGUGACGCCUAUGAACGAGCGCCAGCCCAGCAGACCUCAGGACAGGCAUCCACAAGAAAGCUGGCUGUGCACUAGGACUCUAGAAGCCAGGAUGCCUAAGGACUCAACUGAUCUUCAAUGAGAUUCCUGAAACUAACAAGAAAACAUUAGAGGAAAUAAAAAAGAGGGACACUAUAAAAACUUACUGGCUUAUACUCUCCAAAAUUGUCAAGGCCAUGAAGACAAAACCAAGAAAUUGUUCCUGAUUAAAGGAGACUAAAGACUAGAGACCUAACAACUAAAUUAAUUGGAGAUUCUGGAUUGGAUCCAGGACCUAGACAAAAAAUUGUUUUUCUUUUGCUACAAAGGACAUUAAUGGUACAACUGAUAGAUUUGAAUAAGUUCUGUAGAUUAUAGUAUCAUAGCAGUGUAAAUUUCUGAUUUUGAUAAUUAUAUAAUUUCAUAUGAGACUAAAUUUUCUGAUUUUGAUAAUUACAUAAUUUUAUAUGAGACUAAUUAUUUUGUAUGUCCUUAAGAAAAAAACAACCAACUCUAUGGAAGUAAAGCAGCAUCAUAUCUGCAACUUUCUUUCUUUUUUUUUUUUUUCUGAGACAGAGUUUCACUCUUGUUGCCCAGGCUGGAGGGCAAUGGCACGAUCCUGGCUCACUGCAACCUCCACCUACUGGGUUCAAGCGAUUCUCCUGCCUCAGCUUCCCGAGUAGCUGGGAUUACAGGCAUGUGCCACCAUGCCUGGCUAAUUUUGUAUUUUUAGUAGAGAUGGGGUUUCUCCAUGUUGGUUAGCCUGGUCUCGAACUCCCAACCUGAGGUGAACCGCCCGCCUUGGCCUCCCAAAGUGCUGGGAUUACAGGCAUGAGCCAUGGCGCCCGGCCAGAUCUGCAACUUUCAAUUAAUUCAGAAGAAAAUUUUUUUAGAGAAAAAAUAAAUGGAAAAAUAUUGACAUUUGGGAAGUCUGGGUAAAAUAAAAGGGUACAUAAAACUUUGUGUACUCUUUAUGUCUUUUCUGUAAAUUUAAAAUUUUUUAAAAAUAAAAAAUGGCAGAAUAUCUAAUGUCCACUCCUACAGUUAAGAAUAUGCGGCCAGGCAUGGUGGCUCAUGUCUGUAAUCCCAGCACUUUGGGAGGCCAAGGCGGGUGGAUGACCUGAGGUCAGCAGUUCGAGACCAGCCUGGCCAACGUGGGGAAGCCCCAUCUCUACUAAAAAUACAAAAAUUAGCCAGGUGUGGUGGCAGGCACCUGUAAUCCCAGCUACUAGGGAGGCUGAGGCAGAGGUUGCAGUGAGCCGAGAUCAUGCCAUUGCACUCCAGCCUGGACAACAAGAGCGAAACUCUGUCUCAAAAAAAAAAAAAAAAAUGCAACCAAAAAAAAGGUCUUUAACCCCAAAUCACCAAAAAUUAUACAACACUGAACAUAUUUGAAUGUGUAAAUGAUACAAUCAAG